rnacentral:misc_RNA from 1 species
GGAUUAUGAUGAAACAGUAGUGGCUGAAUAUGAGACUAACUACUGCCCAGCUAUUAGCUGCAGGUGGUUCUCUGUUUCAACAUGAUCUCUCUGCCUUACUCAUCUGAAUUC